rnacentral:rRNA from 1 species
CUGCUUGCAGGGUACUCGAGUGGCGAACGGGUGAGUAACACGUGGGUGAUCUGCCCUGCACUUCGGGAUAAGCUUGGGAAACUGGGUCUAAUACCGGAUAGGAACCAUCUUUAGUGUGGUGGUUGGAAAGUUUUUUCGGUGUAGGAUGAGCUCGCGGCCUAUCAGCUUGUUGGUGGGGUAAUGGCCUACCAAGGCGGCGACGGGUAGCCGGCCUGAGAGGGUGUACGGCCACAUUGGGACUGAGAUACGGCCCAGACUCCUACGGGAGGCAGCAGUGGGGAAUAUUGCACAAUGGGCGCAAGCCUGAUGCAGCGACGCCGCGUGGGGGAUGAAGGCCUUCGGGUUGUAAACUCCUUUCGCUAGGGACGAAGCUUUKUGUGACGGUACCUAGAUAAGAAGCACCG